UUGUGGUUUCUCAUUGUAGAUCAGGAGAAUGAGGACUGGCAUCUUCAAUAUCUGAUAACAUUUGCAAAACAGAUUAAUUACCAACCAUAUUCCGGAUGAUCUAAUGAACUUGCUUGCUUAAUUCAGGGCUGAUAAUCUUCCAGGUCUCCUCUGGUCCUGAAGCUCCUCAGAGGACUGGCCUCUUCUGUCUUUGACAGGAGCCUGGGAACCUCCACCACUGCAACCAAUGAUCUCUGCAUAGACCUUGGUUGUGGGGCAGAAAAAGGGACGAAUUCCACACAGUGGACUCUGUGAUCCUGCUGUCAUCACGACUCACCCAAGCCCCCCGGACUCCUGCGAGAGGCUCUCAUUUCAUGUCGUGUUGCUGCCGAGGCCACUCAUCCCCGUAUCAUCUCCUUUUUUAAAGCCAAUUUUCAACUAUCUGACCACACCUCCUCUACAUUCCUUGGAGUGGAAACUUCCACCUCUUCUUUAUUGAGUAGGGAAGCUUCAGGAUGAACUAGCUCCACUUUUUUCCUUUGUCUUAUAAUUCUGGAAGAUCACCUACUUCUCUACUUUUUUAGUCUUUCUCUCCACACCCACUUACCUAGGAAUCUACACACUCCUCCAUCCUUUUCUUUCGGCCAGUACCUGGCCAUGCGGUUUACAUUCCUCAUCCCACUCUGAAACUUAUGUUGGAGAGAAAGAAACUUGAGUCUCAGAGGAGCACAUUCAUUUGCUGAAGCUAACUAGCUAGUAAGAAAGAUACUGACGGCAGAGAUGGGAUUCAAACACAGGGAGGCUGAGCAGAAGAGAGCCAAAGAGCUGCAGCUGAGCUCCCAGGAAUCUGGCAACACCGAGCGCAGCUGGAACUUCCAGCCACGCCGCCGCGCCCGCUGACCCCGUGUGGCGAGAGGGAUCAACCCUCCGACACGGAAUAAUGUAAAGGUAGCAAGUGUUACUCCUUUACGCCGCUGUUUCGGAGCGUUUACUAUUCAGCAGCAGACAACCAGGACAGUACUGCAGAGGGCAAUCAGGUCACAGAUCUGCCUUCUUCUGCGUUUAAACAAGUGAACCAUAAAAAUGGAGUGUAUCAAAUAAUCCUAGUAUAAGAACAGGAUUUCUUAUAAGAUCAAAAAACCAGAUAAAUAAAAAAACAACUGAAAUGUAAGGGAAAGUGGAGAUGAUGCAUUUAUUUAUUAGCUAAUUUGAUGCCGUCAUUUUAUAUUUCGCACAUUUUUCUAUUGGGCUCUUUGUCUUGUUUGUAGGAAUUCUUUAUGUAUUUCUGAGAUGAGCCACUCGUCGGAUAUGUGUGUUAGAGACAUUUUCUCCUAGUUGGCAGUUUACCUUUUACUCUCCUAGUGGUAGAUUUUGAUGAAGGGCAGUUCUUAAUAUUUUAAAACAGACAUUUCAUGUUGCACAAUUUAUCAUAUUUUUAUUUAUGGUUAUGGAGGGUUUUUGUCAGUUAAAGGAAUAUUUGCAUACUCUUAGUUCAUAAAGUUCUAUUUCCUCCCCCCAAUUUUUUUUGAGUUGUUUUUUUGAAUAUUAGUUCAAAUGAAAGUGUCAAGAUUCAUUUUCUCCUAUGUGUGUAUCCAAUAGACUCAGCAUAAUUGAUUAAAAAGAACAACUUUUCACAAUUUUACUACACUGUUUUUUUUUGCCACGAAUCAAAUAACCAUAUAUGUGUGGGUCUGUUUCUGGUCUAUUUGUUUACACCAGUAUUUUUUUUAUUGUGAUUUGCUUGAAAAUAAGUCUUAUUGUGUGGUAGUGUAAGUCCUCCAGCUUUGUUCUUACUCAAGAUUAUCUUGUUUAUUCUUUCUUCCUAUUAUAUGUUCAUACACAUUUGAAAUUGAACAAAUACUCUCUCAGGAAAACCUUGCUACUUAUUUUGAGUAAGAUUAUUGAAUCUAUAAAACAAUUUAGAGUGACUGUACCUCUUAUUAAUAUUGAAUUUUUAAGUUGAUGAAUGACUAUGCACUUGUAUUUAGAGUUUCUUUGAAAUAUUUGAUUAAAUAUUUUGUAAUAUUCAGGGUAGAG